UACGAAGGGGGCUAGCGUUGUUCGGAUUUACUGGGCGUAAAGCGCACGUAGGCGGAUCGUUAAGUCGGGGGUGAAAUCCUGGAGCUCAACUCCAGAACUGCCUUCGAUACUGGCGAUCUUGAGUCCGGAAGAGGUGAGUGGAACUCCUAGUGUAGAGGUGGAAUUCGUAGAUAUUGGGAAGAACACCAGUGGCGAAGGCGGCUCACUGGUCCGGUACUGACGCUGAGGUGCGAAAGCGUGGGGAGCAAACAGG
rnacentral:rRNA from 1 species